AGGGCGAUGCAGGUGGACCAGGUGUGAAGGGAAGCCAGGGGAUACAGGGACCGCGAGGCGAGCCAGGCAAGCCAGGUGUCCCUGGAGAGAACGGGAUGGCGGGUCCACACGGGAAAGAUGGUGCACCAGGAGAGAAAGGCAUUCAGGGUGACACAGGACCUCCAGGACAACCCGGUUUUCCAGGAUCCCGGGGCCCACCUGGUCUGCCAGGCAGCAAUGGAAUACCUGGAAUGAAGGGGGCAACGG